GACAGGGUGGUCGAGUGGUUAAGACGUUAGACUUGAAUCCCAGCUGGUGACGACAUCUAAUACCUUCGGGUGCGCGCGUUCAAAUCGCGUCCCUGUCG